UACGAAGGGUGCAAGCGUUACUCGGAAUUACUGGGCGUAAAGCGUGCGUAGGUGGUGAGUUAAGUCUGUCGUGAAAGCCCCGAGCUCAACCUGGGAAUGGCGAUGGAUACUGGCUCGCUAGAGUGCGGUAGAGGAGAGUGGAAUUCCCGGUGUAGCAGUGAAAUGCGUAGAGAUCGGGAGGAACAUCAGUUGCGAAGGCGGCUCUCUGGACCAGCACUGACACUGAGGCGCGAAAGCCAGGGGAGCGAACGGG
rnacentral:rRNA from 1 species